rnacentral:rRNA from 1 species
CACGUAGGGGGCGAGCGUUGUCCGGAUUUAUUGGGCGUAAAGCGCUCGUAGGCGGCUCGGUAAGUCAGGUGUGAAAACUCUAGGCUCAACCUAGAGACGCCACCUGAUACUGCCGUGGCUAGAGUCCGGUAGGGGAGCAUGGAAUUCCUGGUGUAGCGGUGAAAUGCGCAGAUAUCAGGAGGAACACCAAUGGCGAAGGCAGCUCUCUGGGACGGUACUGACGCUGAGACGCGAAAGCGUGGGGAGCGAACAGG